CUACGGGGUGCAGAAGUGGGGAAUAUUGCGCAAUGGGCGCAAGCCUGAUGCAGCCAUGCCGCGUGUAUGAAGAAGGCCUUCGGGUUGUAAAGUACUUUCAGCGGGGAGGAAGGGAGUAAAGUUAAUACCUUUGCUCAUUGACGUUACCCGCAGAAGAAGCACCGGCUAACUCCGUGCCAGCAGCCGCGGUAAUACGGAGGGUGCAAGCGUUAAUCGGAAUUACUGGGCGUAAAGCGCACGCAGGCGGUUUGUUAAGUCAGAUGUGAAAUCCCCGGGCUCAACCUGGGAACUGCAUCUGAUACUGGCCAGCUUGAGUCUCGUAGAGGGGGGUAGAAUUCCAGGUGUAGCGGUGAAAUGCGUAGAGAUCUGGAGGAAUACCGGUGGCGAAGGCGGCCCCCUGGACGAAGACUGACGCUCAGGUGCGAAAGCGUGGGGAGCAAACAGGAUUAGAUACCCGUGUAGUC
rnacentral:rRNA from 1 species